rfam:Triticum aestivum genome assembly, contig: Triticum_aestivum_CS42_TGACv1_scaffold_513774_6BS
CAAAUACUCCCUCCGUCCGAAAAUACUUGUCAUCAAGAUAGAUGAAAAGAGAUGUAUCUAGAACUAAAAUACGUCUAGAUACAUCUCCUUUUAUCCAUUUUGAAGACAAGUAUUUCCGGACGGAGGGAGUACUAA